GACGAACGCUGGCGGCGUGCUUAACACAUGCCAGUCGAACGGAAAGGCCCUGCUUUUGUGGGGUGCUCGAGUUGCGAACGGGUGAGUAACACGUGAGUAACCUGCCCUUGACUUUGGGAUAACUUCAGGAAACUGGGGCUAAUACCGGAUAGGAGCUCCUGCUGCAUGGUGGGGGUUGGAAAGUUUCGGCGGUUGGGGAUGGACUCGCGGCUUAUCAGCUUGUUGGUGGGGUAGUGGCUUACCAAGGCUUUGACGGGUAGCCGGCCUGCGAGGGUGACCGGCCACAUUGGGACUGAGAUACGGCCCAGACUCCUACGGGAGGCAGCAGUGGGGAAUAUUGCACAAUGGGCUGAAGCCUGAUGCAGCAACGCCGCGUGCGGGAUGACGGCCUUCGGGUUGUAAACCGCUUUCGCCUGUGACGAAGCGUGAGUGACGGUAAUGGGUAAAGAAGCACCGGCUAACUACGUG
rnacentral:rRNA from 1 species